GGACUACCCGGGUAUCUAAUCCUGUUUGCUCCCCACGCUGUCGCGCAUCAGUGUCAGCAAUAGCCCAGCACGCCGCCUUCGCCACCGGUGUUCUUCCGGAUCUCUACGCAUUCCACCGCUACACCCGGAAUUCCACGUGCCUCUACUAUGCUCAAGCCAGGCAGUUCGCACGGCCGACCCGGGGUUGAGCCCCGGGCUUUCACCGCACGCUUACCUGGCCACCUACGCGCCCUUUACGCCCAGUGAUUCCGGACAACGCUUGCACCCUCUGUAUUACCGCGGCUGCUGGCAC
rnacentral:rRNA from 1 species